ACUCUCUUAGUAUAUACACAGUACAGUUGACUUCCAAUCAGCUAGCCCCAGAACAACCCUGGGAGAGAGUA
rnacentral:tRNA from 1 species